GAGGGGAUGAGAGAAAGUACCGAAAACUUCAGUUAUGAUAGACAGUCUCCUGGAUGAGCUUUACACCCUGCAUCUUCUGAAUACAGGGCACGAGUUUAACCGCUGAACUAGAACUUGCCUUUCCCCGGGUUGAAGAUUUUUGCAAUAGUACGUUAUGCAGCAAGCAGGAAAGUUUGUUAUUCAUCACAUUACAUAAUGAUGUGUCGGUUUGCAGAAUUUUGGUCCAUGUAGAUUCUAGAGCAGGGAUUCUCAACGUUUUCCAAAGAGACGGACGAAGUCAAUCUGUCUUAUAAAGCAGGGAAACAAGGAAAAAUGUUGGAAGGCCACACAAAGCAUAUGAGACAGCAGAGUAAUGCUCGCAGACCGCAGGUUCAUAACAGCUGUUCCACAGGUACCACGUGUACUGUUACUGCACACAACCUCAGACUGCCUUCCUCCUGCAAUAGCAAAAUAAUGAAGGACGUAAAAUCUAAGCCCUUGGCUGAUUAAGCUACAUGAUUUAACAUCUAAAUCUGAGCCGCGCUGAGUGACCUUCAAAAGAAUUUGACUCACCGGAAAACAAAAAAGCAUCGUUUGAAAAUUCUGAAAGUUUACGUCAAUUGUCUUACAUAGAAAAAUUUAAUUUGCUUAAAGUCUUCCUUAAGUAAGAUAGAUCAAAUAUGGCAUGUUAUAAGGCGUCUUAGGUUUUUGGCAUCAUACUGUGCUCAUAAGCACAGGGUCAUAGGAUCGAAUGCUGGCUGAUGAAGUCUUUUAUUUUUCCUUCAUACAUCCGCCAUAUUGUUAUCUUACAUUAUAUAAAGAAUUAUUUUGAGUGUUCUAUAUCUCCCGAAAAUCCGUAACCAUAUAUCACAGUACUUCGCUAUUGUAAGCGGUACUAGUGUCGACUCUACCUCAGAAGUUUGGUCGUCCGCCAUAUUGGUAUUACCGAUUCCAGAAAAUUGAAAAGAUUGAUUUUAGGGUAGUCCCAGUUGCACAACGGUUAUACCAGAUUUAAUACAAAUCUGUCUCAACAUCUA